UCGCUCUGUCACCCAGGCUGGACUGCAGUGGCGCGAUCUUGGCUCACUGCAACCUCCGCCUCCUGGAUUCAAGCGAUUCUUCUGCCUCAGCCUCCCGAGUAGCUAGGAUUACAGGCAUGUGUCACCACGCCCGGCUAAUUUUGUAUUUUUAGUAGAGACGGGGUUUCUCCGUGUUGGUCAGGCUGGUCUCGAACUCCUGACCUCAGGUGAUCUGCCCGCCUCGGCCUCCCAAAGUGCUGAGAUUACAGACGUGAGCCACCGUGCCUGGCGGAAUUUUCAUAUUUUAAGUCCCCCACCCUUGGACAUUUAGAUUUUUUCCAUCUUUCUGUAUUUGCAGAUAUGCUUCUACGUACACCUUUAUUCAUUUGCUUGAACAUUUCCCUGAGAAAAACUAGAAAUGGAAUUGCCAGAUUACUUUGUGUACAUGUUUCCAAACUGUCCUCCAGAAAGAAUGUAAUGCUUUGAACUUCCACUUGAGAAUCAAAUGUUUACCUUCCUCUGUUCCUCCAGAUUUGGACAUUUACAGUGUUCAGCCGUUGUUGUGGCAUUCCAAUUCAAUUGGGAAACAGCUUGAUGUAGCGUCCCCAUAAGGUCCACAGUAAUUAAAUUUUUUUUUUUUUUUUUUGGUGCGGUAGUGCAAUUUCAUGGCUCACUGCAACCUCCACCUCCCAGGUUCAAGCGAUCCUCCCAUCUCAGCCUCCCUAGUAGCUGGGAUUACAGGUGCACGCCACCACACCAGGCUAAUUUUUGUAUUUUUAGUAGAGAUGGGGUUUCACCAGGUUAGCCAGGCUGGUCUUGAACUCCAGACCUCAAGGGAUCCGCCUGCCUCAGCUUUCCAAAGUGCUGGGAUUACAGGUGGAGACUGGACCUCAGAAGAGGGAGUGGGUGCCCCGAGAACUCACAGCUAGCGGACAGUGGAAAGGGCAGGAGCCGGACCAAGGUGAGGACAGUGGAACUGAAGGCCGCUGGUUACCUCUCCUGCCCUCCGCUGGCCACAGUGGAGAAGACAGCCCCUCCCUCCUGCUCUGACCUGACAGUGUUCAUCCAUCGCCCUGUAUUAGCGAAGAACAACAUCAAGCUGGCUAGCAAGGAACUGUAUACAGGGUCCAGCUGGGUAUCACACUGGAUCUCACCCAAAGCUUAGAUGUGAUCCAGCUCAGUAUCACAAAGCAGAACGAAAAGGAUGUGUUUGGGCUGAGAGGCCAUACAUUGGCUCCGGCAUGACGGGUGACUUCUUCCGAGUCUGGCUUCUGCAGCACACAGGGCUUCGCCAGCACCCAGCUCCUGCAGCAUGGGCAGCUCCUGUGACAGCAGGCGCCCGCAGCCUGCAAAGCGUCUCCAGUGCCGCCGCCUCAGUGAACCUCAACCAGCGGCACCUAGCAGCUUUCUCUGCCACCCUCUUCAGGUAGUUCUGUAGCAGCGCGUUUCUCAUGAGACACUUCCCUGUGAGCAGCUUUUUCUACCCUUGAGGAUGGAUUUCCAGCAAAUUCUGCCCAUGUGGUACCACAGCCACUUCUCUGCCAUUCAGUGAAACUGCCGUUGUGCCCUCUUCAAGGUCUGGAUCUAAGCCCAGGGACCAGGAAACCUCUUGCUUGAGUGCUGGAACUCAGGCCAGAAGGCACUCCAGAGCCGCGAGCCGCCUCGCACAGCCCGCGCGUUUCUUCUGCUCCCCCGGAAGAGGGCACGGUCUCCUUCCUGGCCGCUCUCUGCCGGCCGUACCGCACGACAGCUGGCAGCACCGUCAGCCCCUGCUCGGGAGCUCGGAAGAUGCUCUAGCUCCGCGGCCAGUGCAGCGAACCCACCCAACCCUGGUGCAGGAGCCAUUGCAGCAAAUUGACAGGGAGUCCUCUGGGCCGGAAGUGGCCCUGGCCCUGCGCCGUAUGCUCUCUAGGACUGCAGGAGGCUCGGCAUCUCGGUGAUAGACCCAGGAAGUCAGUGGCUGGGCGGGGCGGGCUGUGAGGACUGAGGUCUGUAGCGAAGGUCCAGCCCCGUGGUCUUCGCUUCGUUCGGCAACGAACGCCCAGCGAAGGGUAAGACGAAAUGCUUCAAAGACAGGAUCCUGGAGCAGUUGCCGGGGCAACCGUGCGGCUUGGGGCGUGGCGGUGAGGGGAAAAGGGCCGGGCACAAACUUCAGCCGUGAUUGGCUGGUUCUGCUGGAGCCGCCUUUCUCCCCGCCCCGAUGCCUGAAUGGCUAAGGGCAGGGGGGCGUGGCCUCCUGGAUUCAGUCAUGCCGGCGACGGGGCCGCCGAGCGAGAGGCUGGGUCCAUGGGACCCUGCAGGCUCUGGGCUUCGCUACACGGCCGGGCCCGGGAACUGGGAGACGGUGUCCUAGGCUAGGACGGCGCUGAGGCCGACGCCCCCGGCCCAGAGGGGCAGCGCCGACAGCCGAUCCCUGAGCGCUUGCAACAGGAACCUGGGGCCGCAGGGAAGCAGGUGGGAAGCCAGGAUGCAUACAUCCUGCCUCUCCGCCUCCGCCCUCACCGUGCUCCUGACACCGCAUCAGUGAUGAUCUGGUGGAGUUCUCCAGUGGCCGAGAAGCCCCGAGGAAGCCAGGGAAACCGCUGAACCUCCUCAUCCUCUACCCAGGGAGACACCAAGACCCUUACCUGGCUUCUUCCCUCCAGCCUCCUACCUCUCAGUGACGCCCAUCACCUACCAAACUAUGAGCACCCUUCAGCCUGGCGUUCCAGGUCCUUCCCUGGCACAGCCCCUACUCCUCCCUGUCUUAUUUGUGCUUGUCGAAUAUUUCCGAAACUGCCA
ensembl:lncRNA ZNF213-AS1 ZNF213 antisense RNA 1 (head to head)